AUUGAACGCUGGCGGCAGGCCUAGCACAUGCAAGUCGAGCGGGGUUUUCGGACCUAGCGGCGGACGGGUGAGUAAUGCGUAGGAAGCUGCCCGAUAGAGGGGGAUACCAGUUGGAAACGACUGUUAAUACCGCAUAAUGUCUACGGACCAAAGUGUGGGACCUUCGGGCCACAUGCUAUCGGAUGCGCCUACGUGGGAUUAGCUAGUUGGUGAGGUAAUGGCUCACCAAGGCGACGAUCGCUAGCUGGUUUGAGAGGAUGAUCAGCCACACUGGAACUGAGACACGGUCCAGACUCCUACGGGAGGCAGCAGUGGGGAAUAUUGGACAAUGGGCGCAAGCCUGAUCCAGCCAUGCCGCGUGUGUGAAGAAGGCCUUCGGGUUGUAAAGCACUUUCAGCGAGGAGGAAGGGUGGUGUGUUAAUAGCACAUCAUUUUGACGUUCUCGCAGAAGAAGCACCGGCUAACUCUGUGCCAGCCGCCGCAGUAAUAC
rnacentral:rRNA from 1 species